UACGGGGGGGGCAAGCGUUGUUCGGAAUUACUGGGCGUAAAGGGCGCGUAGGCGGCCUGCUAAGUCGAACGUGAAAUCCCUGGGCUCAACCCAGGAACUGCGUCCGAUACUGGUUGGCUUGAAUCCGGGAGAGGGAUGUGGAAUUCCAGGUGUAGCGGUGAAAUGCGCAGAUAUCGGGAGGAACACCAGUAGCGAAGGCGGUUCUCUGGGCCGGUACUGACGCUGAGGAGCGAAAGCGUGGGGAGCAAACAGG
rnacentral:rRNA from 1 species